GGGUUGUGAGGUUAAGCGACUAAGCGUACACGGUGGAUGCCCUGGCAGUCAGAGGCGAUGAAGGACGUGCUAAUCUGCGAUAAGCGCCGGUAAGGUGAUAUGAACCGUUAUAUUAGUGGAAGCGUCUGGAAAGGCGCGCGAUACAGGGUGACAGCCCCGUACACAAAAGCGCAUGUGCUGUGAGCUCGAUGAGUAGGGCGGGACACGUGGUAUCCUGUCUGAAUAUGGGGGGACCAUCCUCCAAGGCUAAAUACUCCUGACUGACCGAUAGUGAACCAGUACCGUGAGGGAAAGGCGAAAAGAACCCCGGCGAGGGGAGUGAAAAAGAACCUGAAACCGUGUACGUACAAGCAGUGGGAGCACAGGUUUACCUGUGUGACUGCGUACCUUUUGUAUAAUGGGUCAGCGACUUAUAUUCUGUAGCAAGGUUAACCGAAUAGGGGAGCCGGAGGGAAACCGAGUCUUAAYYGGGCGUUAAGUUGCAGGGUAUAGACCCGAAACCCGGUGAUCUAGCCAUGGGCAGGUUGAAGGUUGGGUAACACUAACUGGAGGACCGAACCGACUAAUGUUGAAAAAUUAGCGGAUGACCUGUGGCUGGGGGUGAAAGGCCAAUCAAACCGGGAGAUAGCUGGUUCUCCCCGAAAGCUAUUUAGGUAGCGCCUCGUGAAUUCAUCUCCGGGGGUAGAGCACUGUUUCGGCUAGG
rnacentral:rRNA from 1 species